rnacentral:rRNA from 1 species
GACGAACGCUGGCGGCGUGCUUAACACAUGCAAGUCGAACGGAAAGGCCCUGCUUUUGUGGGGUGCUCGAGUGGCGAACGGGUGAGUAACACGUGAGUAACCUGCCCUUGUCUUUGGGAUAACUUCAGGAAACUGGGGCUAAUACCGGAUAGGAGCUCCUGCUGCAUGGUGGGGGUUGGAAAGUUUCGGCGGUUGGGGAUGGAUUCGCUGGUUAUCAGCUUGUUGGUGGGGUAGUGGCUUACCAAGGCUUUGACGGGUAGCCGGCCUGAGAGGGUUACCGGCCACAUUGGGCCUGAGAUACGGCCCAGAAUCCUACGGGAGGCAGCAGUGGGGAAUAUUGCACAAUGGGCGGACGCCUGAUGCAGCAACGCCGCGUGCGGGAUGACGGCCUUCGGGUUGAAAACCGCUUUCGCCUGUGACGAAGCGUGAGUGACGGUAAUGGGUAAAGAAGCACCGGCUAACUACGUG